GCCAGUGUGGUGAAGUGGUUUGAGCAUUGGACUGGGACACUGAAAGACCAGAGUUCAAAUCCCUGCUCUGCUG